rnacentral:rRNA from 1 species
UUUCCAGAGAUGGAUUGGUGCCUUCGGGAACUCUGAGACAGGUGCUGCAUGGCUGUCGUCAGCUCGUGUUGUGAAAUGUUGGGUUAAGUCCCGCAACGAGCGCACCCUUAUCCUUUGUUGCCAGCGGUUAGGCCGGGAACUCAAAGGAGACUGCCAGUGAUAAACUGGAGGAAGGUGGGGAUGACGUCAAGUCAUCAUGGCCCUUACGAGUAGGGCUACACACGUGCUACAAUGGCGCAUACAAAGAGAAGCGACCUCGCGAGAGCAAGCGGACCUCAUAAAGUGCGUCGUAGUCCGGAUUGGAGUCUGCAACUCGACUCCAUGAAGUCGGAAUCGCUAGUAAUCGUGGAUCAGAAUGCCACGGUGAAUACGUUCCCGGGCCUUGUACACACCGCCCGUCACACCAUGGGAGUGGGUUGCAAAAGAAGUAGGUAGCUUAACCUUCGGGAGGGCGCUUACCACUUUGUGAUUCAUGACUGGGGUGAAGUCGUAACAAGGUAGGCGUAGUGCU